rnacentral:lncRNA from 1 species
AAAAAAACCUGCAAAUCUACCAAGGGAGAAAAAGUAUUUAUAGUAUGAAAUAAAUAUGUUGCACCUAAAGAGAGCAGCAGCUUAAUCUUUCUAUGUGAAAAAAUACACUUGUCCCAUGAUCCUCCACAAGGCAGGAGAUGGAGGAAAUAUUGCAGGAGUCUCUUUGCUGAAGUCUUUGUUAACAGCAUGACCAUGGAUGGACAGUGACUGGCAUUUAAUUUUGACAUGAGGAGGGAGGAGAAGCCAGCAAUACUCAGUGCCUCUAUUAAAGUGAAGGGAAAGACAC